rnacentral:rRNA from 1 species
GACGUAGGGUGCGAGCGUUGUCCGGAUUUAUUGGGCGUAAAGAGCUCGUAGGCGGCUUGUCGCGUCGACCGUGAAAACUUGGGGCUCAACCCCAAGCCUGCGGUCGAUACGGGCAGGCUAGAGUUCGGUAGGGGAGACUGGAAUUCCUGGUGUAGCGGUGAAAUGCGCAGAUAUCAGGAGGAACACCGGUGGCGAAGGCGGUUCUCUGGGCCUUACCUGACGCUGGAGGAGCGAAAGCGUGGGGAGCGAACAGG